CCUACGGGGGGCAGCAGUAGGGAAUCUUCCGCAAUGGGCGCAAGCCUGACGGAGCAAUACCGCGUGAGGGAUGACAGCCUGUGGGUUGUAAACCUCUUUUUUCAAGGAGGAAGAUCUGACGUGUACUUGAAGAAUAAGCAUCGGCUAACUCCGUGCCAGCAGCCGCGGUAAGACGGAGGAUGCAAGUGUUAUCCGGAAUCACUGGGCGUAAAGCGUCUGUAGGUGGUUUAAUAAGUCAGUUGUUACAAAUUGAGGCUUAACCUUAAACAAGCAACAGAUACUGUUAAACUUGAGUAUAGUAGAGGUAAAAGGAAUUUCCAGUGGAGCGGUGAAAUGCGUAGAGAUUGGAAAGAACACCGAUGGCGAAGGCAUUUUACUGGGCUAUAACUGACACUCAGAGACGAAAGCUAGGGUAGCAAAUGGGAUUAGAUACCCGGGUAGUC
rnacentral:rRNA from 1 species